CCUAACACAUGCAAGUCGAACGGUAACAGGGAGAAGCUUAGCUUCUUUGCUGACGAGUGGCGGACGGGUGAGUAAUGUCUGGGAAACUGCCUGAUGGAGGGGGAUAACUACUGGAAACGGUAGCUAAUACCGCAUAACGUCGCAAGACCAAAGAGGGGGACCUUCGGGCCUCUUGCCAUCGGACGUGCCCAGAUGGGAUUAGCUAGUAGGUGGGGUAACGGCUCACCUAGGCGACGAUCCCUAGCUGGUCUGAGAGGAUGACCAGCCACACUGGAACUGAGACACGGUCCAGACUCCUACGGGAGGCAGCAGUGGGGAAUAUUGCACAAUGGGCGCAAGCCUGAUGCAGCCAUGCCGCGUGUAUGAAGAAGGCCUUCGGGUUGUAAAAC
rnacentral:rRNA from 1 species